AGUGAACGCUGGCGGUAGGCCUAACACAUGCAAGUCGAACGGCAGCACAGUAAGAGCUUGCUCUUACGGGUGGCGAGUGGCGGACGGGUGAGGAAUACAUCGGAAUCUACUUUUUCGUGGGGGAUAACGUAGGGAAACUUACGCUACUACCGCAUACGACCUACGGGUGAAAGCAGGGGAUCUUCGGACCUUGCGCGACUGAAUGAGCCGAUGUCGGAUUAGCUAGUUGGCGGGGUAAAGGCCCACCAAGGCGACGAUCCGUAGCUGGUCUGAGAGGAUGAUCAGCCACACUGGAACUGAGACACGGUCCAGACUCCUACGGGAGGCAGCAGUGGGGAAUAUUAGACAAUGGGCGCAAGCCUGAUCCAGCCAUACCGCGUGGGUGAAGAAGGCCUUCGGGUUGUAAAGCCCUUUUGUUGGGAAAGAAAAGCAGCAGGUUAAUACCCCGAUGUUCUGACGGUACCCAAAGAAUAAGCACCGGCUAACUUCGUG
rnacentral:rRNA from 1 species